ACAGCAGGGCCAUGUGUGGGAACCCAGCACAUCACUCCGGGUGUCCAGAGUCACUGAGAGAACCCUUGGGGGGCUCGGAGGUCCUGGAGUGCUGCCAGAAGCACCUGGUGGCUCGACUGUGACCCCUCUGGGGAUGUGCCACCUGUGUGUGAGAACAUGGGAGUCCCUGGGGUUUGAAUGGUGCAGGAAUGAUUUAUUUACAGGGUGAAACAGAGAUUUUAGGGGUUUGGUACAGGGGGGUCAUGGAGACAAGUUGGAGGGAUCAGGGCCUGCCUCGUGGUUCUUCUUGUCAUCCAUCUCCUGUGUGAUGCUGGCACUUGUGGAUUGGUCCGGGGGGAAGGAGCACUUGCUAACAAGGGUGAGAGGCAUUGGGAACAAAAGGUAAAUAUGUUCUACGUAGUUUUUACUACAGAGACACGGUCGCCCCGUGGGCGGUCAGAGCGCCUUGGGCUGCCCGGCUGCUCAGAGCCCGGCUGGGCAGAGACAAAACUCUACAGAUAAGAAAUAAUAAACAAUCCAAGACUGAAAAAUUAGAGAGCCCAGAUUCGUCCUCUGAAGCGCGGGCUGCAAAGAACCAUCCUCCGUGUGUUGGGGCAGAGACAGACAGACAGCCGAGCCCACACUGGUGGUCCAGGGCGGGCAGUGCCCAGGCAGGCAGAGCCCAGGCGGGCAGUGCCCAGGCAGGCAGAGCCCAGGCGGGCAGUGCCCAGGCGGGCAGUGCCCAGGCAGGCAGCUCCCGGAGCUGGACUGGUUCCCAGGAGAGCACUGAUAACUCCUUGGGAAGGCAGCCAGAGGGAUCUGAAGCAGCAGCAGCCACUGGGAACAUUGCACUCCACUUCUGCCGAGGAGGCUCCACCAGAACAGCCGGACUGGAAUCAGAAAGGUGCUCUGACCCCAUCUCCUGUGACCUGCUGGGCAGAGACCAGGAGCCUUCGGACUGCUCUGACCACAGAAAUUCGGGCGAGGUCUGAAGUGGGUGUCAGCACGGCACGUGAAGCCAUUCCAGACACAAGAACAGGAGAGCACUGAUCCCAGAAACAGAGACGAGCUCUCAAACUGCAAACAACGACUCGGAAGAAACAAAAGAAUAAGGACUUUGGGGGCUUUCCUUUGGGGUUUUGAGUGAAAAGAUGGCAAUGCUUUUUCACAAAGGUGAAGUCAUGAGCUUCACAAUGCUUACGUGUUUCACUUCAUUGUCUGUUGCUCUAAACAACAAGGCAAAUUUACCUGUUGAUCCACCAAAGAAAAAUGUUUGGGAAGCUUUAGCCCAGGCAGCGAGCUUAGGCAGUGACUGCCUGAUGCACUCCAGACCAGGGAGACCAUUCUCGGGGGAGGGCCAGUGGCCGAUUCCAGGACACCCUGCAGCUGAAAUCUCGCAGGUCAUUAAAGAUCCUAUAAAGGAGUGGUGUGCUUGGAGGCAUCUCCUUCCUGAGGCUUCUCCUGAACCUCAGGAAUUGGAGAUUUUCGGAUCCAUGGCAAUGGAGCUGUGCAUGCAGUUUGAAAUUCCAGAUGUGACAAAAACAAACAAAACCAC